GACGAACGCUGGCGGCGUGCUUAACACAUGCAAGUCGAACGGUGAAGCGCUUUCCUUUUUGGUUGGUGUGGAUGAGUGGCGAACGGGUGAGUAACACGUGAGUAACCUGCCCCCUUCUUCUGGAUAACCGCAUGAAAGUGUGGCUAAUACGGGAUAUUCUGCGCCUGCUGCAUGGUGGGUGUGGGAAAGAUUGUGCCUUUGGGUGUUUUCGGUGGGGGAUGGGCUCGCGGCCUAUCAGCUUGUUGGUGGGGUGAUGGCCUACCAAGGCGGGUACGGGUAGCCGGCCUGAGAGGGUGGACGGUCACACUGGGACUGAGACACGGCCCAGACUCCUACGGGAGGCAGCAGUGGGGAAUAUUGCACAAUGGGCGCAAGCCUGAUGCAGCGACGCCGCGUGAGGGAUGGAGGCCUUCGGGUUGUGAACCUCUUUCGCCAGUGAAGCAGGCCUGCUCCUUGUGGGUGGGUUGACGGUAGCUGGAUAAGAAGCGCCGGCUAACUACGUG
rnacentral:rRNA from 1 species